UCUUUUUUUAAGUUCUGCAUCAUCGCUUCCUCCCUGUUUUCUUCAGCCUGUGUUGUUUUGAAGAUGAGGAUGUUGAAUGGUGAAAGGAGCUUGGAGUGGACUGGUGCAGAGGUCUUAGUACAGUUGUGUUUUUAUCAUUGUUAUUCACUGCCAUAAAUUCAUGUUCUUGAGUUUUUUUCUGUUUUUUGCUUAGGUUAUUCGAUGUUGUUGAUUCUAAAUGAUAAGUAUAAUCGUUCCGCUGUUCCGCCAGGGCUCUCUAUUGCUAGGCGGUGUUAUCUUCUUGCUAAUUCUUUGAAUUUAGAUCAUUCUUAUUAUUUGAUAAUGUUAUCUACACUGGAUUUGGUUUAGUU
rnacentral:lncRNA from 1 species